GGGUUGUGAGGUUAAGCGACUAAGCGUACACGGUGGAUGCCCUGGCAGUCAGAGGCGAUGAAGGACGUGCUAAUCUGCGAUAAGCGUCGGUAAGGUGAUAUGAACCGUUAUAACCGGCGAUUUCCGAAUGGGGAAACCCAGUGUGAUUCGUCACACUAUCAUUAACUGAAUCCAUAGGUUAAUGAGGCGAACCGGGGGAACUGAAACAUCUAAGUACCCCGAGGAAAAGAAAUCAACCGAGAUUCCCCCAGUAGCGGCGAGCGAACGGGGAGCAGCCCAGAGCCUGAAUCAGUGUGUGUGUUAGUGGAAGCGUCUGGAAAGGCGCGCGAUACAGGGUGACAGCCCCGUACACAAAAAUGCACAUGCUGUGAGCUCGAUGAGUAGGGCGGGACACGUGGUAUCCUGUCUGAAUAUGGGGGGACCAUCCUCCAAGGCUAAAUACUCCUGACUGACCGAUAGUGAACCAGUACCGUGAGGGAAAGGCGAAAAGAACCCCGGCGAGGGGAGUGAAAAAGAACCUGAAACCGUGUACGUACAAGCAGUGGGAGCACAGAGCAAUCUGUGUGACUGCGUACCUUUUGUAUAAUGGGUCAGCGACUUAUAUUCUGUAGCAAGGUUAACCGAAUAGGGGAGCCGAAGGGAAACCGAGUCUUAACUGGGCGUUAAGUUGCAGGGUAUAGACCCGAAACCCGGUGAUCUAGCCAUGGGCAGGUUGAAGGUUGGGUAACACUAACUGGAGGACCGAACCGACUAAUGUUGAAAAAUUAGCGGAUGACUUGUGGCUGGGGGUGAAAGGCCAAUCAAACCGGGAGAUAGCUGGUUCUCCCCGAAAGCUAUUUAGGUAGCGCCUCGUGAAUUCAUCUCCGGGGGUAGAGCACUGUUUCGGCAAGGGGGUCAUCCCGACUUACCAACCCGAUGCAAACUGCGAAUACCGGAGAAUGUUAUCACGGGAGACACACGGCGGGUGCUAACGUCCGUCGUGAAGAGGGAAACAACCCAGACCGCCAGCUAAGGUCCCAAAGUCAUGGUUAAGUGGGAAACGAUGUGGGAAGGCCCAGACAGCCAGGAUGUUGGCUUAGAAGCAGCCAUCAUUUAAAGAAAGCGUAAUAGCUCACUGGUCGAGUCGGCCUGCGCGGAAGAUGUAACGGGGCUAAACCAUGCACCGAAGCUGCGGCAGCGACACUAUGUGUUGUUGGGUAGGGGAGCGUUCUGUAAGCCUGUGAAGGUGUACUGUGAGGUAUGCUGGAGGUAUCAGAAGUGCGAAUGCUGACAUAAGUAACGAUAAAGCGGGUGAAAAGCCCGCUCGCCGGAAGACCAAGGGUUCCUGUCCAACGUUAAUCGGGGCAGGGUGAGUCGACCCCUAAGGCGAGGCCGAAAGGCGUAGUCGAUGGGAAACAGGUUAAUAUUCCUGUACUUGGUGUUACUGCGAAGGGGGGACGGAGAAGGCUAUGUUGGCCGGGCGACGGUUGUCCCGGUUUAAGCGUGUAGGCUGGUUUUCCAGGCAAAUCCGGAAAAUCAAGGCUGAGGCGUGAUGACGAGGCACUACGGUGCUGAAGCAACAAAUGCCCUGCUUCCAGGAAAAGCCUCUAAGCAUCAGGUAACAUCAAAUCGUACCCCAAACCGACACAGGUGGUCAGGUAGAGAAUACCAAGGCGCUUGAGAGAACUCGGGUGAAGGAACUAGGCAAAAUGGUGCCGUAACUUCGGGAGAAGGCACGCUGAUAUGUAGGUGAAGUCCCUCGCGGAUGGAGCUGAAAUCAGUCGAAGAUACCAGCUGGCUGCAACUGUUUAUUAAAAACACAGCACUGUGCAAACACGAAAGUGGACGUAUACGGUGUGACGCCUGCCCGGUGCCGGAAGGUUAAUUGAUGGGGUUAGCGCAAGCGAAGCUCUUGAUCGAAGCCCCGGUAAACGGCGGCCGUAACUAUAACGGUCCUAAGGUAGCGAAAUUCCUUGUCGGGUAAGUUCCGACCUGCACGAAUGGCGUAAUGAUGGCCAGGCUGUCUCCACCCGAGACUCAGUGAAAUUGAACUCGCUGUGAAGAUGCAGUGUACCCGCGGCAAGACGGAAAGACCCCGUGAACCUUUACUAUAGCUUGACACUGAACAUUGAGCCUUGAUGUGUAGGAUAGGUGGGAGGCUUUGAAGUGUGGACGCCAGUCUGCAUGGAGCCGACCUUGAAAUACCACCCUUUAAUGUUUGAUGUUCUAACGUGGACCCGUGAUCCGGGUUGCGGACAGUGUCUGGUGGGUAGUUUGACUGGGGCGGUCUCCUCCUAAAGAGUAACGGAGGAGCACGAAGGUUGGCUAAUCCUGGUCGGACAUCAGGAGGUUAGUGCAAUGGCAUAAGCCAGCUUGACUGCGAGCGUGACGGCGCGAGCAGGUGCGAAAGCAGGUCAUAGUGAUCCGGUGGUUCUGAAUGGAAGGGCCAUCGCUCAACGGAUAAAAGGUACUCCGGGGAUAACAGGCUGAUACCGCCCAAGAGUUCAUAUCGACGGCGGUGUUUGGCACCUCGAUGUCGGCUCAUCACAUCCUGGGGCUGAAGUAGGUCCCAAGGGUAUGGCUGUUCGCCAUUUAAAGUGGUACGCGAGCUGGGUUUAGAACGUCGUGAGACAGUUCGGUCCCUAUCUGCCGUGGGCGCUGGAGAACUGAGGGGGGCUGCUCCUAGUACGAGAGGACCGGAGUGGACGCAUCACUGGUGUUCGGGUUGUCAUGCCAAUGGCACUGCCCGGUAGCUAAAUGCGGAAGAGAUAAGUGCUGAAAGCAUCUAAGCACGAAACUUGCCCCGAGAUGAGUUCUCCCUGACUCCUUGAGAGUCCUGAAGGAACGUUGAAGACGACGACGUUGAUAGGCCGGGUGUGUAAGCGCAGCGAUGCGUUGAGCUAACCGGUACUAAUGAACCGUGAGGCUUAACCUUACAACGCCGAAGCUGUU
rnacentral:rRNA from 1 species